rnacentral:tRNA from 1 species
CCCUCGAUAGCUCAGUUGGCAGAGUGGAGGACUGUAGAUGUUACAACGGUGAUCCUUAGGUCGCUGGUUCAAAUCCGGCUCGAGGGA